CCUACGGGCGGCUGCAGUGGGGAAUAUUGGGCAAUGGGCGCAAGCCUGACCCAGCAACGCCGCGUGAAGGAAGAAGGCCUUCGGGUUGUAAACUUCUUUGGCCAGGGACGAAAAUGACGGUACCUGGAGAACAAGCCACGGCUAACUACGUGCCAGCAGCCGCGGUAAUACGUAGGUGGCAAGCGUUAUCCGGAUUUACUGGGUGUAAAGGGCGUGUAGGCGGGUUUGUGUGUCGGAUGUGAAAUCUACAGGCUUAACUUGUAAGGGUCAUCCGAAACUACAAAUCUUGAGUGUUGGAGAGGAAAGCGGAAUUCCUAGUGUAGCGGUAAAAUGCGUAGAUAUUAGGAGGAACACCGGUGGCGAAGGCGGCUUUCUGGACAACUACUGACGCUGAGGCGCGAAAGCGUGGGGAGCAAACAGGAUUAGAUACCCUAGUAGUC
rnacentral:rRNA from 1 species